UGGUGGGUGGCGAAAUUGGUAAACGCACCAAAAAAAUUGAGGGUUAUCGACUUCGGAAUCGGGUAUGCUGCGGGUUCGACUCCCGCCCCACCAC
rnacentral:tRNA from 1 species